rnacentral:rRNA from 1 species
UACGGGGGGGGCAAGCGUUGUUCGGAAUUACUGGGCGUAAAGGGCUCGUAGGCGGCCAACUAAGUCAGACGUGAAAUCCCUCGGCUUAACCGGGGAACUGCGUCUGAUACUGGAUGGCUUGAGGUUGGGAGAGGGAUGCGGAAUUCCAGGUGUAGCGGUGAAAUGCGUAGAGAUCGGGAGGAACACCAGUGGCGAAGGCGGCCGGCUGGGGGUGACCUGACGCUGAGGCGCGAAAGCGUGGGGAGCGAACCGG